AAGUCGUAACAAGGUAACCGUAGGUGAACCUGCGGUUGGAUCAUUAAUAAUUUUAGACGAAGCUGUAAAGCGGAGUCGAAAUGUUAAGGAGUUCUUUAGUAGCUAGCAAUAGUUAUUAAAGACUCUGAACCUUUGUGAACUGUAAAUGUCUUUGGCUAGACUUUCUCAAGAAGUCUCUUAAGAAACUGGCCAAUUAACUUUGAACCUAGAGUUUAUCAAGUCUUAAACAUUCUUUAACAGAAUACAACUUUUGACAAUGGAUCUCUUGGCUCUC
rnacentral:misc_RNA from 1 species